GUGCUCUCUUUGGCAGCUUAUAGACCGAGACUGGAAUGAACCAGAGAAGACGAGCAUAGUCCUAGAGCAAGAAUGAUAAUCAAAUUCUGAAAUAUUCUAUAUGUCA
rnacentral:snRNA from 1 species